rnacentral:misc_RNA from 1 species
GGGGGUGGUGGAUUUGGCACCAUGGGCAGCGGACUUGUGCAGUCUGCUAUGGUUAAUGGAAUUAGAGCUGCAAUGGGUAAUAACACGGUGAUAAAUGGACGUGUGAGUGUACCAUCGAUGGUUCGAGACCAAACCAUGAAUCUUCAACAUGAUUUGGGGAACCAACUGCUUAGUGGGCUAGGAGCAGUUAAUGGAUUUAAUAAUCUUCCGUAUGAUUGGAAACCAUCCCCGUGAAGGCUCUAUCAAUGAUACUGGUGUUUCAGUUCUUGAUUGUAGCUGCUUGUGUAGCAUGAGCGUGGGCAGAAAUUCCUACAGCCCUGUGAAGAUGGUAUUGCAUGGUGGAAUAGUUCAGGGCUAACUUCCCACUUUGUACUAAUUUCAGGAAAAAAGAAACAACUCGAAGAGGAUUUAACAUUUCAUUGAUAAAACCCUCUUCGAGUUGUUUCUUUUUUCUUCUAAUUGUUCUGAUUUAUGAUUCAAUACAGCCUCUUUUCCCA